rnacentral:rRNA from 1 species
UAGAGUAAUGCGUGACCAACCUGCCCCAUGCUCCAGAAUAGCUCUUGGAAACGGGUGGUAAUGCUGGAUGCUCCAACUUGACGCAUGUCUUGUUGGGAAAGUGUUUAGUGGCAUGGGAUGGGGGUCGCGUCCUAUCAGCUUGUAGGCGGGGUAAUGGCCCACCUAGGCUUCGACGGGUAGCCGGCCUGAGAGGGCGGACGGCCACAUUGGGACUGAGAUACGGCCCAGACUCCUACGGGAGGCAGCAGC